UGGGGAAUAUUGCACAAUGGGCGCAAGCCUGAUGCAGCCAUGCCGCGUGUAUGAAGAAGGCCUUCGGGUUGUAAAGUACUUUCAGCGGGGAGGAAGGUGUUGAGGUUAAUAACCUCAGCAAUUGACGUUACCCGCAGAAGAAGCACCGGCUAACUCCGUGCCAGCAGCCGCGGUAAUACGGAGGGUGCAAGCGUUAAUCGGAAUUACUGGGCGUAAAGCGCACGCAGGCGGUCUGUCAAGUCGGAUGUGAAAUCCCCGGGCUCAACCUGGGAACUGCAUUCGAAACUGGCAGGCUUGAGUCUUGUAGAGGGGGGUAGAAUUCCAGGUGUAGCGGUGAAAUGCGUAGAGAUCUGGAGGAAUACCGGUGGCGAAGGCGGCCCCCUGGACAAAGACUGACGCUCAGGUGCGAAAGCGUGGGGAGCAAACA
rnacentral:rRNA from 1 species